GGCCUGAUGGUCUAGUCGUAUGAUUCCUUCUUUGGGUUCAAUCUGGCGUCCAAUCCCAUCACGGGGUUGCCUGCAGGAUAUUCCUGAUUGGAGGAGGUCCGGGGUUCAAUUCCCCGUCAGGCCC